rnacentral:lncRNA from 1 species
AAUUUAUAGGUUUAGUUAACUUUGUUGAUAUGUAUAUAUACCUAUCAGCCUUGUAGAAGAGGGAACUUCUAAAUCGGCAAAACACGGACCCGAUAUAUUUAAAGUGCUUGUUGUAUAACAAAAAAAACAAAAACUGAUAGGAUUUUAUCGACAAAAAAAAAAAAAAAACUGAUAGGAUUCAUUAUUGCAUUAAUUAGUUUGGUCACGUUAAUAAAUCUUAUUACACUGCGAUUGACGUUAACGUAUGAUGUUACUGCUAACAAGAAUUUCAAAUCAAAAUUCACAAGAAAAUAGUUUCAAUUCAAGCCUAUAUAUUCG